GACCGGAGUGGACGCAUCACUGGUGUUCGGGUUGUCAUGCCAAUGGCACUGCCCGGUAGCUAAAUGCGGAAGAGAUAAGUGCUGAAAGCAUCUAAGCACGAAACUUGCCCCGAGAUGAGUUCUCCCUGACUCCUUGAGAGUCCUGAAGGAACGUUGAAGACGACGACGUUGAUAGGUCGGGUGUGUAAGCGCAGCGAUGCGUUGAGCUAACCGGUACUAAUGAACCGUGAGGCUUAACCUUACAACGCCGAAGGUGUUU
rnacentral:rRNA from 1 species